CCUACGGGUGGCAGCAGUGGGGGAUAUUGCACAAUGGGGGGAACUCUGAUGCAGCGACGCCGCGUGUGUGAAGGAGUGCUUCGGCAUGUAAAGCCCUAUCGUCAGGGAAGAAGCAGGCAGUUACCUGACUAAGAACCCCCGGCUAACUACGUGCCAGCAGCCGCGGUAAUACGUAGGGGGCAAGCGUUAUCCGGAUUCACUGGGUGUAAAGGGGGCGUAGAGGGCCAUGAAAGCCAGGGGGGAAAGCCCGGGGCUCAACUGCGGAACUGCCCUUGGAACUGAAUGGCUGGAGUACGGGAGGGGAAGGUGGAAUUCCUGGUGUAGCGGUGAAAUGCGUAGAUAUCAGGAGGAACACCAGUGGCGAAGGCGGCCUGCUGGACAGUGACUGACGUUGAGGCUCGAAAGUGUGGGGAGCAAACAGGAUUAGAUACCCUAGUAGUC
rnacentral:rRNA from 1 species